rnacentral:tRNA from 1 species
GGUAAUAGCUCAGUGGUAGAGCAUGUACUUAGCAUGUACUGUAUGAGGUCCUGGAUUCAAUCUCCAGUACCU